ensembl:lncRNA
GUUUGGACUUCUUACUUUUUUUACUGACUACUUAUUGGGCAGAAACAUCCGGGCACAGGUGUUGAAUUUUCUUCAAAGAAGUUCUGAGCCAGUAAAAGUUCAAGUCUUGCUGUUGUCAAGUAAUGCUGACAUAAUGAAGGUUAAGAAAAAGAGAGGACAAAUGAUCCAUCCUUGUCAAGAGAUCUACAUUGAGACAAAUCCUUACUGUGAAAUCAACACACGCAAAGAUUACAGCCUUUUCACAGACCCACCUGGACUAGACGUGAUUCCUAACACGGCUAAGUAUGUUGAGUGCAGUCAAAACUUCCCUCCAGCAUUCACAGUACAUUGCAGGAGAAAGAAAGAGCUGAAGCUAAUCCUGAAGGAUAAAACAAGGGAA